GCACAGAACUGUGUGAGCUCUUCUGCCUAGCAGAGCCCCUGGCAUUGACCAGCAUAGGAGGGUUAUGUUGGUCCUCAGGAGGGCAGCUUCCUGGGGAAUCUGAC